UAGCGUAUUCGUUUGACGUUAGCGACAGAAGAAAGCACCGGCUAACUCCGUGCCAGCAGCGCGGUAAUACGGAGGUGCGAGCGUUAAUCGGAAUUACUGGGCGUAAAGCGCAUGCAGGUGGUUUGUUAAGUCAGAUGUGAAAGACCCGGGGCGUCAACCUCGGAAUAGCAUUUGUAAACUAGGCAGACUAGAGUACUGUAGAGGGGGGUAGGAAUUUCAGGUGUAGCGGUGAAAAUGCGUAGAGAUCUGAAGGAAUACCGGUGGCGAAGGCGGCCCCCUCGGACAGAUACUGACACUCAGAUGCGAAAGCGUGGGGAGCAAACAGGAUUAGAUACCCUGGUAG
rnacentral:rRNA from 1 species